rnacentral:piRNA from 1 species
UAAGAGGACACCCGAGGAUGACUGAA